rnacentral:rRNA from 1 species
UACGAAGGGGCUAGCGUUGCUCGGAAUCACUGGGCGUAAAGCGCACGUAGGCGGAUUGCUAAGUCAGGGGUGAAAUCCUGGAGCUCAACUCCAGAACUGCCUUGAUACUGGCGACCUUGAGUCCGGGAGAGGUGAGUGGAACUGCGAGUGUAGAGGUGAAAUUCGUAGAUAUUCGCAAGAACACCAGUGGCGAAGGCGGCUCACUGGCCCGGUACUGACGCUGAGGUGCGAAAGCGUGGGGAGCAAACAG